rnacentral:ncRNA from 1 species
CCUUUGGAGUGUCAUAUCAAACGAAAGUAGCCAUGCCUAGCAUCCUUUGAAAGAAAGGAUGUAUAAAUGGUAAACCAAAUCGGACACGAUGAAUAAGGAA